rnacentral:rRNA from 1 species
AGAGUUUGAUCCUGGCUUAGGAUGAACGCUGGCGGCGUGCAUAACACAUUCAAGUCGAACGGUGAAGUUCCUCGGGAACGGAGCAGUGGCGGACGGGUGAGUAACGCGUGAGCAACCUGCCGUACAGAGGGGGAUAACACAGGGAAACUUGUGCUAAUACCGCAUGAGACAGUAAUCCCGCAUGAGAUAGCUGUCAAAGAGAAAUCGCUGUACGAUGGGCUCACGUAUGAUCAGACAGUUGGCAGGGUAACGGCCUACCAAAUCAACGAUCAUUAGCCGAACUGAGAGGUUGAACGGCCACAUUGGAACUGAGAAACGGUCCAGACUCCUACGGGAGGCAGCAGUGGGGAAUAUUGGGCAAUGGGCGAAAGCCCUGACCCAGCGACGCCGCGUGAGGGAAGAAGGUCUUCGGAUUGUAAACCUCUUUCGGCAGGGAAGAAGGAAGUGACGGUACCUGCAGAAGAAGUCACGGCUAACUACGUGCCAGCAGCCGC